rnacentral:rRNA from 1 species
GUUGUAUAGUCAAGUAAUUAAGUGCAUGUGGUGGAUGCCUUGGCAGUCAGAGGCGAAGAAAGACGUGAUAGCCUGCGAAAAGCUCCGGGGAGGCGGCAAAUAUCCUGUGAUCCGGAGAUGUCUGAAUGGGGAAACCCACUUACCAUAAGGUAGGUAUUGCAACAUGAAUACAUAGUGUUGCAAGGCGAACGAGGGGAAGUGAAACAUCUCAGUACCCUUAGGAAAAGAAAUCAAUUGAGAUUCCCUCAGUAGCGGCGAGCGAAAGGGGAAGAGCCCAUUAAGUCAUAUAAGUUCUAGUGGAACGCUCUGGGAAGUGCGACCGUAGACGGUGAUAGUCCUGUACACGAAAGGGCUUAUAUGAUGAUGUCGAGUAGGGCGAGGCACGUGAAACCUUGUCUGAAUAUGGGGGGACCAUCCUCCAAGGCUAAAUACUCCUGACUGACCGAUAGUGAACCAGUACCGUGAGGGAAAGGCGAAAAGAACCCCUGUGAGGGGAGUGAAAUAGAUCCUGAAACCGCAUGCAUACAAGCAGUGGGAGCCGGCUUAGUCCGGUGACUGCGUACCUUUUGUAUAAUGGGUCAGCGACUUAUAUUCAGUAGCAAGGUUAACCGAAUAGGGGAGCCGUAGGGAAACCGAGUCUUAAUAGGGCGUUUAGUUGCUGGGUAUAGACCCGAAACCAGGUGAUCUAUCCAUGAGCAGGUUGAAGGUUGGGUAACACUAACUGGAGGACCGAACCCACUGUCGUUGAAAAGCCAGGGGAUGACUUGUGGAUAGGGGUGAAAGGCUAAUCAAACUUGGUGAUAGCUGGUUCUCCCCGAAAGCUAUUUAGGUAGCGCCUCGGACGAAUACCAUUGGGGGUAGAGCACUGUUUCGGCUAGGGGGUCAUCCCGACUUACCAAACCGAUGCAAACUCCGAAUACCAAUGAGUACUAUCCGGGAGACAGACUGCGGGUGCUAACGUCCGUAGUCAAGAGGAAAACAAUCCAGACCGCCAGCUAAGGCCCCAAAAUUAUAGUUAAGUGGGAAACGAUGUGGGAAGGCAUAGACAGCUAGGAGGUUGGCUUAGAAGCAGCCACCCUUUAAAGAAAGCGUAAUAGCUCACUAGUCGAGUCGGCCUGCGCGGAAGAUGUAACGGGGCUAAAACUAUAUGCCGAAGCUGCGGAUGCAUAAUUUAUUAUGCGUGGUAGGGGAGCGUUCUGUAAGCCGAUGAAGGUGGAUUGAGAAGUCUGCUGGAGGUAUCAGAAGUGCGAAUGCUGACGUGAGUAACGACAAUGCGAGUGAAAAACUCGCACGCUGAAAGACCAAGGGUUCCAGUCCAACGUUAAUCGGGGCUGGGUGAGUCGACCCCUAAGGCGAGGCCGAGAGGCGUAGUCGAUGGGAAAUUGGUUAAUAUUCCAAUACUUCUGUGUAAUGCGAUGAGAGGACGGAGAAGGUUAAGUCAGCCUGGCGUUGGUUGUCCAGGUGGAAGGUUGUAGGCAUGUAUCUUAGGCAAAUCCGGGGUACUCUAUGCUGAGAACUGAUAGCAAGCUGUACUUGUACAGUGAAGUGGCUGAUACCAUGCUUCCAGGAAAAGUCUCUAAGCUUCAGUUACACAGGAAUCGUACCCGAAACCGACACAGGUGGUCAGGUCGAGUAGACCAAAGCGCUUGAGAGAACUCUGCUGAAGGAACUAGGCAAAAUGGUACCGUAACUUCGGGAGAAGGUACGCUGUUGUCUGUGAUAGGACUUGCUCCUUGAGCGGCCGACAGCCUCAGAAACCAGGCCCCUGCAACUGUUUAUUAAAAACAUAGCACUCUGCAAACACGAAAGUGGACGUAUAGGGUGUGAUGCCUGCCCGGUGCUGGAAGGUUAAUUGAUGGGGUUAGCGUAAGCGAAGCUCUUGAUCG